CACACAUUCCAGCCACAGACUUCAGUCAGUACUUGGGGAGCAGCCGGAGGGAGAGGAGGUAUGUGUUAUGUGUGUGGCUCGGUGUGAGUGUUGACCUUAGUAGCCAAGAUGGCCAGCUCGAACAAAGAUGAAUCGCUCCCUAUGGAGCAGCGGAGCAGCCAGAUCAUACAUGUGCGUGCUGACAGUGACAGCGAGCUGGAUGCUCUGUUUGAAGUAGUGCUGAAGCCCUCGAGCCAGGUGCCCCUACAGAAGCCCUUCAGGAUGCGCAAGCUACCCAUAUCUUUCUUCACCCCACCUGCCCACCGCCAGUCCCCUGCCCCCGUGAACCACUCCAGGGAGGGGUCAGCGGACUCUACCUACGGUGGGGAUGGCGUGAGCAACCUGCGAGUGUCAGGCGCCAUGUCCCCCAACACCGCCCCUCAACACUUCCGCCACCACUCUUCGCCAGCCUCCCUGCAACAGACCCUGGCUCAGCAGCAACAGCAGCAGCAGCAGGUCGCUCACCACAAACAACAAAGUUAUGACCUAAGUGACGAAGGUAGUCUUCCCCUGGGCUGGGAGCAGGCAAGGACUCCCCAGGGACAAAUAUACUACCUCAAGGAGAGGGUAGGUAGCAGCCUCCGUGCCCCUGCCCCGUCUUACCCCGCACUGCCCCGCCAUGCUCCACCCUGCCGCCCGACCCCAGUCCCCACCAGCCACAACACACAGUCGACCACGUGGGAGGACCCCCGAAAGUUGCUCAUGAAGCAGAGGCAGCGGCAACAACAGGGCGCUGUCUCCCCUGCGGCACCACCUCCAGGGCCCCCGAACAAUGCUCCUCCCGGCCCUUCUCCAGGCCCUGCGCCGGGAGCUCCCCCAGCCGCUCCCUCUGGGCCUCCUCCCCCACAUUCCGGCACCCAGAACACCAAUUCCCAGGUACCCGUCGAGGUCGUGAACGGCAAUCUGGGGCCCCUGCCGGACAGUUGGGAGCAGGCGGUGACUCCGGAGGGCGAGAUCUACUUCAUCAACCACAACGACAAGUCCACGUCCUGGUUCGAUCCCCGGCUACGUAUGGGAGUGGGACAGGUGCGCCCCAGGAAGCAUGUCUCGCCCGGGGUUGGCCGUGAUAGGUGUGGAGCAGUAGGAGUAGGAGGGGGAGGAAUAGGUGGAGGUGGAGGAGGGCUGCGUCUCCUCCCAAGACCUCGUUCCUUGCCCCACCAUGAAUCUGCGACGCUCACUGAUCCGCGACGUCUGCAAACGGCGGCAGUACUAAAUGGGGGAAAGCCUGCACAGCAGCCUUCCGCCACCUCUCAGGCAGGACAGCAGCAGCAGCAGCAACAACAACAACAACAACAACAGCAACAGCAGCAACCAUCACAGCAGCAGCAGGCACCAUCCCCUCAGGUUAGCCACCAGCUGCCGCCCGUCGGGCCCACCGUUAGCUCCUCCACCGCUGCCCUUCAAGCCAGACAACAAACGCUUCGACUACAGCGUCUCCAAGUGGAACACGAGAGACUGAGGCUUCGUCAGCAGGAGAUCAUCAAGUCUGAACAGUCAUUGCGUUUAAGCCUGCGAGAGGAAGCAGGACCUCUGUCUCAGCCACAGCAACAGCAGCAACAGCAGCAGACAGCACAAACAGUAGCCCAGCAGCCUUCUCAGCAAAAUCAGCAGCAACCACAGCAGCAGCAACAGCAGCAGCAGCAAGGUAGUGAGCUGGUGCUGACUUCUGCUGGCCUCACUUUAUCCUCGGCUCCGCAGACAGUGGCCACUGUAGUAACCUCUGCUGCUGACCCUUUCAUCACUACCACAGACUUCCACUCACGGCAGGAGUCGGCAGAUAGUGGACUUGGCCUCGGGACCAACUACUCUCUUCCUCACACUCCAGAGGACUUCUUGACCUCCAUGGAAGAUGUUGAGAUCACUCCUUCUGAUGCUGAGAUGAAGACAUCACCUGCCAAUAAUAUCCUUGAGGCAUCUGAGCUGGAGUCCAUGGACUCAGAAGACUUGGUGUCAACAAUACAGGGAGCCGCGUGGUUUGCCGUGCAGCCGCCAGGGGACUGCCAAGUUUGAAUUCAAAUCGCCAAGCACGCACUCAGUUGUCCAUAGCCAUCCUACUGCCAAAAGUGAAUUUCGCCAAGCUGAGAUUCGCCAAGUGCGGGGGCUUACUGUACACAAACUCUCUGAAUGGCAAGUUUCAGAGUGACUGCACCAGCAGCAGGAUUAGUGUGGGAAUGGGAUUAGGAUGGUGGUGAUGAUGACUUUUAAAUGGCAGUUGUGUGUUCAGGCAUAAAGCUAAACGAUGAGCUGUCUACGGAUUUCCUCAACGACAUGUUGGAGACUUCUAAAAUGGACAGUCUGCACACGUGGCUGUAGAGGAGCAAGGAGCAAAGUUAAAA
rnacentral:misc_RNA from 1 species